ACAUGGGGCAGAUAACAUGGGGCGUCUCCAGCAGUGGAAGGAGAACUUCCGCCCUGGUGGAAGGGGAACCGCUCCACUAUGUCCUGGUCUGGAAAGUGUAGCUGGUGUCCCAGCUCACCCCCGCUCACCCACCGCUCACCUCCGCUCACCUCACUCAACUAGCGCCUGGAUGUUCCGUACAGCCGGCCCGGAGCGCACGUGGACUAAAGUGCACGUGGACGUGCCACCGUAAGGUCAGCUCAUCCCGGCGCCGUGAUGGAUGCACCGCCGAGACGUUUAAGAUAAAAGACCAUUUGAUGAGCAUGGCGGAAAAGGUCUGCAACAUCUUUGAAUAAGGACAACGGAGCUCCGUUUCGAUUCGCCCUGACAAGGUGGAAUAAGUGAGUCAGGGAUGAUGGAUGGAGACACCUGUCCUAAUGGGCCCUCAAACUGUGCCCAGUAGCGCACGCUACGUUGAUAAAUUGACAGCGGUUGGGACAUGCUCUGCUAGCAGGGGGAAGGAGGGCGCUAGGACAUAAUCACCCUCCCCAUGUUUCCAGCCCGUCGCUAGCAAGGCCUCACAAUGACGACAUCCCCAUAAGUACGGGGAGAUCUCAUUAAUGUGUGAUGAUGUAAAUAAACACUCUCCAUCUGAAACGAC
ensembl:lncRNA